GAACGCUGGCGGCGUGCUUAACACAUGCAAGUCGAACGCUGAAGCACCAGCUUGCUGGUGUGGAUGAGUGGCGAACGGGUGAGUAAUACGUGAGUAACCUGCCCUUGACUCUGGGAUAAGCCCGGGAAACUGGGUCUAAUACUGGAUGCUACAUGUCACCGCAUGGUGGNGUGUGGAAAGGGUUUACUGGUCUUGGAUGGGCUCACGGCCUAUCAGCUUGUUGGUGAGGUAAUGGCUCACCAAGGCGACGACGGGUAGCCGGCCUGAGAGGGUGACCGGCCACACUGGGACUGAGACACGGCCCAGACUCCUACGGGAGGCAGCAGUGGGGAAUAUUGCACAAUGGGCGAAAGCCUGAUGCAGCGACGCCGCGUGAGGGAUGACGGCCUUCGGGUUGUAAACCUCUUUCAGCAGGGAAGAAGCCACAAGUGACGGUACCUGCAGAAGAAGCGCCGGCUAACUACGUGCCAGCAGCCGCGGUAAUACGUAGGGCGCAAGCGUUGUCCGGAAUUAUUGGGCGUAAAGAGCUCGUAGGCGGUUUGUCGCGUCUGCUGUGAAAGCCCGGGGCUUAACCCCGGGUGUGCAGUGGGUACGGGCAGA
rnacentral:rRNA from 1 species